UGCUAAUGAGAAAAGAUAAUCCUGACCUGAAUUCCCCAACCCCCACCAGGAUCCUAUCCCUCGUGAGGACGAAAUCUAGAGGUGGAGGCGAAGGCAGAAAUGGCUGGUUCUUAGGUCUCCUCCUGUCAAAGCCAGACCUGAUCAUGUUUUUGGAGCAAGAGAAGCAGCUCUGGGAUGUGAAGAGAAAGGAGACUGUAGCUGUCCAUCCAGGUGGGUGGGAAUGGGUGAGGCAGGUGACAGAGGGGAUGUCCAAGUCUUAAGGAGGAAGGUAGACCUUAAGCUGUGGUUCAAGUAGCUCUUCUUGAAUGAAUGUCAGUUGGAGACAUGCCCAGUUUUUUGUCUCUCUCUCUCUUUCUCUCUCUCCCAGAGGGACAUCUGCUCUCCAACAUUAUCAAGCUCUUGCAUUCUCUAGGGAUUCUCCUUCAGCUCCAGUGAUGAUCCAGCAUAUAAUCAUCAUAUAAUUAGAGGGGGAGGCCUCCUUAAUCUCCGUCCAUUGCUAUGGGGACCCUAGGGAAGUCAUCCUAUUUCUGAGGACCUCUACGCUAAAGUCUUUGUAAAUUCUGUUUUUCAUCAUGAGACAAGUAGGUCAGGGGGUUUGGUGCAGAAAUUCCAGAACACUGG